GAAAAGAUUUGAAGGUGAAGU
rnacentral:piRNA from 1 species